rnacentral:rRNA from 2 species
ACGGGAGGCAGCAGUGAGGAAUAUUGGUCAAUGGGCGCAAGCCUGAACCAGCCAUGCCGCGUGCAGGAUGACGGCUCUAUGAGUUGUAAACUGCUUUUGUAUGAGGGUAAAGUCUGAUUUGCGAAUCAGUUUGAAAGUAUCAUACGAAUAAGGAUCGGCUAACUCCGUGCCAGCAGCCGCGGUAAUACGGAGGAUUCGAGCGUUAUCCGGAUUUAUUGGGUUUAAAGGGUGCGUAGGCGGUUUUAUAAGUUAGCCGUGAAAUAAUAGGGCUUAACCCUAUAUGUGCGGUUGAUACUGUAGGACUGGAGAUUAUGUGCAGUGGGCGGAAUGUGUGGUGUAGCGGUGAAAUGCUUAGAUAUCACACAGAACACCGAUUGCGAAGGCAGCUCACUAAUAUACAUCUGACGCUGAGGCACGAAAGCGUGGGGAUCAAACAGGAUUAGAUACCCUGGUA